AUCCAGCUGACGAGUCCCAAGUAGAACUAAACGCGCGUCAAACUGGAU
rfam:Schistosoma margrebowiei strain Zambia genome assembly, scaffold: SMRZ_scaffold0001424